rnacentral:rRNA from 1 species
UACGGGGGGGGCAAGCGUUGUUCGGAAUUACUGGGCGUAAAGGGCUCGUAGGCGGCCAACUAAGUCAUACGUGAAAUCCCUCGGCUUAACCGGGGAACUGCGUCUGAUACUGGAUGGCUUGAGUUCGGGAGAGGGAUGCGGAAUUCCAGGUGUAGCGGUGAAAUGCGUAGAUAUCGGGAGGAACACCAGUGGCGAAGGCGGCUUCCUGGCCUGUUCUUGACGCUGAGGCGCGAAAGCUAGGGGAGCAAACGGG